UUAAAGUUGGUAAGACAACGACCAAUUUUGUAUCAAGCCUUCACGUUGAAUUAAAAAGAACUAUUUGUAGAGAAAAAACAAUGCUACAAGAUCACACCGAUUGUUGUUUACUGUUGUAAAGCGAAGGCGGCGGACACUGGAUACUUCAUACAAAUCUAAUUGUGGUAUCGUAGGUACAGUACAUUCUUCACACUUGGCUAGCUCACAGAUCAGCAAGAGCUUCUUAUUAAUCAAGCAGAAUUACCACGUUGAAUUGCUAAAGAAACAUGGAUUUUCGUUUGAAAUACUCAAGGCUACGAAUCUCGCAGCUGUCGCUUGGACUUCUACACUGGUUCGAUCCAAAUAAUAACGGGCGAUAGUGUCAACGCAGGCUGCGUCCCAUGCCAAACAGGGUCUCCUUGCCCAUGAAAAGGUGAUGAUUCCGUCGGGGCUUGUUCCGUUUCCGUGGUGCAUGCCUCUGGGCUCCGUUCGAUCCCGGGGAUGCCUGCGGAACCCAGUGCCCGACGCAAAAUGUCAAUAAUUCAGUCGUUUCUAGGCGGUCUUAAGCCCCGCUGAAAAUCUGUAGCUCAGGUUGUGCUUACUUAAUCAUGUUGUUGUACUUACUGUUAAGUUUUACCGUAACUUUUGUCCCGAUUACAAUUACAAUGUCAUAACCUUUACAACUCAAUUACAAGUGCGUUCUCUUAUACCGACAAACAGGCAUUUAGCGAUCCACCGUAGAGGGUUGCACAUUCAACAAUUCAGAAUACAGCAGCCGCCCGCUAUCCAGUCUAGUGAGUCUACAGCUACUCGUAAAUGUAAUACAUACAAGUCAGUUAUUAAUCCCGUAUUCAUC